GACAGAGGGGGGCAAGCGUUGCUCGGAAUUACUGGGCGUAAAGGGCGCGUAGGCGGGAUGGCAAGUCGGUCGUGAAAUCCCUCGGCUCAACCGAGGAACGUCGAUCGAUACUGCUGUUCUUGAGGAUUGCAGAGGAGACUGGAAUUCCCGGUGUAGCGGUGAAAUGUGUAGAGAUCGGGAGGAACACCGGUGGCGAAGGCGUUCCGCUGGGCCGUUGCUGACGCUGAGGCGCGACAGCGUGGGGAGCAAACAGG
rnacentral:rRNA from 1 species